UUGGCUAGACGCACCUGAUCCAGGUAAUCAGCAACAGUUAAGGCAGGAUUUCAGGAAAACCAGCAGGGGGCCGGUCUUCGGGGUCUGGAGUUUGACAGCCCUGCUUUAAAA
rnacentral:snoRNA from 1 species